CUGUGUCUGAAAAACAAUCAGCAGCAAUUAAAAUCCUUAAUUUAAUAUCAUGAUUCCGUUACAGGAAAUCUUUCCAGCCAACAGCCAUCACUAAUAGUUACAACACUUAAUUUCCCUUUGGGAUCAACAAAGUAUUUUUGAAUUUGAAAUAUCAGGAAAGUAGCUUCAGAUGCUGCGGGACAAACUGGCCACUCCUCCUCUCUUUCUUCUUCUACUACUCUCCAGUUUGCACCGUUUGCUGUCAUUUUCUCUCCAUGGCAGAUCCACCUGCUCUGUGUUCUGAUUGGCUGAUUCCUUCCUGGAGGCGGCUGACAUGAUGCUGCCAUCACCUAAUCGCUCUCCCUCUCCUGCUGGUUCUACUUUCAUGAACAUCAGAAAUAAUCCAACAUCACUUCAUAUGUUUCUUCUUCUACUGUGUCUUCGCUAACCUCCAGUCAGUCGGGUCACAUGAGCCCGGUUCUGGUUCUGCUGGAGAUUUCUUCCUGUUAAAGGGGAAUUUUUCCUCUCCACUGUAGCUACAUUCAUGCUCUGUAUGAGCAAUGGCUGUAAAGUUAAUGAUUCCAUGCAAGUGAUUGUCGCCCCCUGCUGGCCAGGAGGAGUGAAUGCUGUAAGGACCUGCUGGGCUUCCUUAGAUAGAAACUUCUGAACAAUUAGAGCAUACUGUACAGCUUGGGAACUAGGAUCAGUUAGAAUGUGUGAUUGAAUGGAAAUAUUUUUGUAAAAUGAGAUGACACUUAUGAAGACGCCUUCAUGCUUAUAACAGAUGUUAUGCCAUGUUUAUGACAGUGUAAUGUCAGACUUAUACAUACCCCGUCAAAUAAAGAGUUACCCAACUCCGCUUCUACUUGUCAAACAGCGCGGCGAAUGACGAGCAGCCCGGUAGCAGUCUCCCUUCUCUGCGUUUGAUCCUGGCAUUAAUGGUGGAAAGUACCGGAAUGGCGACUGCAGGGAAGGGAAACUGGUACCGGACUGGUCCAUCAUCCGCCGGUCUGUUGUUACAAGCGUAGUGUGCAUGAAGUCAGUGUAGCUUAGCCUAGCACCGAAUGUCAGCCAUGAGAGGAACGGCGGGCGGGACUUGCUUCAGAGGUCCGCACUAAUAUUAUACUUUCAUAUCACGGUGGGGCCACCAGACAUCGUCCCGCGGGCUCCAAGAAUGAGACCUCUGGUCUAAAGAGUUCAAGGGAAAUGAAAGAACUUGGGUUGGAAUGAAAUGGACUCGUGGGAAAGACACUGUUCGUAUACAACACUACACAUAUUUGUUUUACAAUUUAUAUACAAUACAGGUGGCCUACACAUAAUUAAUACACUAGGAACACGUGGGUGAGUGUGAGUGAACAUGAAUAUGUGAGAGAGUAUGAGUGAGAAUGUGAACGUAAGAGUGCGUGAAUGAGCACAACCAUUAUGUGACAAUAUUAUUCCUACAAAGACUUUGGUUAUUAUAAUUCAGUACUUCAAUUACUCAAUCACUCUGAAUUAUAUGUGCUUUAUGGACAUUUCUUCAUAAGUUGUCAUCAAGAUUAUGUAUCAGUGCUGUUGUAUUAACCAUUAUCAUGAAUAUCUAUGAUUUGGUUCACUGUGGAUCCAUGAUUGUGUUAUAUUUGUGCUAAUUUCAUGUGAUGCUGGCGGGUGCCUGUGGCGGGAAUCAUAAGGUAGUUUUUUCCCUGAAAUAACACAAAUCAACAAAAGGCCAACAGAGUUUUUCACUCUUAUACAAAUGGAGAUCCACCUGCUCUGUGUUCUGAUUGGCUGAUUCCUUCCUGGAGGCGGCUGACAUGAUGCUGCCAUCACCUAAUCGCUCUCCCUCUCCUGCUGGUUCUACUUUCAUGAACAUCAGAAAUAAUCCAACAUCAGUUCAUCUGUUUAUUCUUUUGAACCUCCAGCCAGUUGGGUCACAUUACCGGUUCUGGUUCUGCUGGAGGUUUCUUCCUGUUAAAGGGGAGUUUUUCCUCUCCACUAAUUGGUCCCAGGAGGAGUGAUGAUGCAAGUCAAUGACUCGAUGAAAUUUUCUGGUUUUCCUUCUAUUUCAUCCUUGCUGCCAUUGCAGAGCUUAAUCUCGCUGGAUUAGACUAGAAUAACCAGCCUAAUCUCUGGUUCUUUAAAUAAUACAAGUUUACAUUUGUUAUUUUGGGAGCACAAUGCACUUAAAUGCAUCAUGUGCUAUGCUGAAUUAACGACAUCUGAGAGUAGUAGGACAUCUUCAUCAAUUAUUCAUCCUGAAAUUUGUAGUUUUGAUAUAUCGAGGGACUAGAUGUGAUGUCUUCUCUGGAUGUGUUUUAAUGUUUAUGAAGCAUGCUGUUAUCAAAUUCUUUUUGGGAUAUUAUUAAAACUGACCUGAACUAAAACAUGGCUGUU